rnacentral:rRNA from 1 species
GCUUGCACUGGGGAUUAGUGGCGAACGGGUGAGUAACACGUGAGUAACCUGCCCUUGACUCUGGGAUAAGCCUGGGAAACUGGGUCUAAUACCGGAUAUGACUCCUCAUCGCAUGGUGGGGGGUGGAAAGCUUUUGUGGUUUUGGAUGGACUCGCGGCCUAUCAGCUUGUUGGUGGGGUAAUGGCCUACCAAGGCGACGACGGGUAGCCGGCCUGAGAGGGUGACCGGCCACACUGGGACUGAGACACGGCCCAGACUCCUACGGGAGGCAGCAGUGGGGAAUAUUGCACAAUGGGCGAAAGCCUGAUGCAGCGACGCCGCGUGAGGGAUGACGGCCUUCGGGUUGUAAACCUCUUUCAGUAGGGAAGAAGCCGCGAGGUGACGGUACCUGCAGAAGAAGCGCCGGCUAACUACGUGCCAGCAGCCGCGGUAAUACGUAGGGCGCAAGCGUUAUCCGGAAUUAUUGGGCGUAAAGAGCUCGUAGGCGGUUUGUCGCGUCUGCUGUGAAAGACCGGGGCUCAACUCCGGUUCUGCAGUGGGUACGGGCAGACUACAGUGCAGUA